rnacentral:rRNA from 1 species
UACGUAGGUGGCAAGCGUUAUCCGGAUUUACUGGGUGUAAAGGGUGCGCAGGCGGCCUGUUAAGUCAGCGGUAAAAGCCCGGGGCUCAACCCCGGCGAGCCGUUGAAACUGUCGGACUAGAGACGGCGAGAAGUACGCGGAAUGCGCGGUGUAGCGGUGAAAUGCAUAGAUAUCGCGCAGAACUCCGAUUGCGAAGGCAGCGUACCGGCGCCGGACUGACGCUGAGGCACGAAAGCGUGGGUAUCGAACAGG